UUCAUUCCAUCAAAGUAAAAUAACGUAAAGAAAAACUAUCAUUCAAGCUUCCAAAGAAAAUGUUUUAAGACCCAUGGUGUUCUCUUGGCCGAGAGAGAUUAGAGCCAAAACCUCUCAAAAAUUCUCAAGCAAAGAUGACCACCCCUCAGUGACGGCUCAUGCCUCCCCAAAUCCCUAGGUCUGAAAGUUACAUCCCAUGGUGGGGUCCACACAUUUUUAAAAAACCCUAGGGCCAUGUCACUACCUUUUUUUACUAUUGGGCUUAGUCUAACCUAACAAAAAUUAGCCCAAAAUUACAAAACUUAAAUUAAAAAGCCUAAUCUACUAAAUUAAAAAUUGACUAAUCCUAAAGUGCCUUUGUGGAGAGUCUUCAAUUAAUUGGUGCCCUUCCAAAAAUCUCACAAUGUGACUCCAAAAUUUCCCUGAAAAAAAUAAAAAUAGGAAUAAUUAAGCUCAAUUAAUUCAAAUUAAUUAAAAUCAGAAUUAUUGGUCUAAUUAAGCCCAAAUGGUGAAAAUGAUACAAUAACUAAGAAUUAAGCGCAAAUCAUCAACACAAUUCGGCGCAAAAAACUAAGUUAAUGGUAUAAAAUAUCGACUCAUCAAAAUAGACCACACAUAGUCUUUUGCACUCCUGGGCAAAAUCAAGACGCAAAAUAGGUGUAAAAUUAAAAUAAAAACAAAAAUAAAAGAUAAGUCACUAAAUAAAUAAAAAAAAAGAAAAUAAAAAAAAAACUAGCGGUAAUUUAUUACUCAUGCAUUAUAUACUAAAGAGAUGGAACAAGAAACAACCUUUUAAUAUUCAAUUAUGAAAGGAAAAACAUGGCAGCGUGUAGCUUGAAUAAAGUUUCAAUGAAAAAAAUUAAAAUAAAAACAUGAACAACAUAAUAAAAUGAAAAUACUAGGAAUAAGCUAAAAGCCUUUUAACCAUCACGGCAAUGCUAAAUCUCCAACAAAAUGAAAGCAAUUGAAUUGAAUGGACAACCAUGAGAAGGGUGGCGGCUGCACCAUUUCCCAAAUACCAUCACCGGUUUUUUUUUUCCUUCAUCUAAAUGAAAAUUGAAUUUUUCUCCAUGUGACAGUAGUCCCUUUCUCAAAUGAAUCAAAUAAAAUCACUGUUUCCUCAACUUCAUCUAGCAAAUUAAAUGUGCUAAAAAUUGGGUGCUAACCGUGACAACCUUGCUUUCAUUUCCAAAAAAAACAUUCAAGAAAAAAAAUAAAGCCCAAGAACCAGUGGCGGCAACCUAUUCCAGCACCUACAUCACCUAAUCAAAUAAAAUAAAAUGAAAAUUGCCAGAUGCUUCACUAAUUAACGCUGCUGCCCCAUGAAACCAGUGGAAGAAAUAGCUUGCACAUCAAAAUCAAUCCAGUGCCGUGAUGAAUCAACAAUUAUUAGGCGUGAUCGAAAAUAAAAAAAAAAAAAGAAAUCCUAUGCUAUAUUCUUGAACCUGUGUGCUUGAAUAAAAAUCGUGACAGCGCGUUGCUCCUUUUUUUUUCUUCAUCCAAAGUCAAGAAACAUCAACAUUUUGUUCAAAAGAAAAAUCCUCUCUGUUAACGUUUUCAGCCAAAACCCAAAAAUCUACCCCCCAAAAUAAAAA
rnacentral:lncRNA from 1 species